UUCAACGUGAGAGUUUGAUCCUGGCUCAGAGCGAACGCUGGCGGCAGGCUUAACACAUGCAAGUCGAGCGGGCACUUUCGGGUGUCAGCGGCGGACGGGUGAGUAACGCGUGGGAACGUGCCCUCUGGUUCGGAAUAACUCAGGGAAACUUGAGCUAAUACCGGAUACGCCCUUUUGGGGAAAGGCUUG
rnacentral:rRNA from 1 species